UGGGGAAUAUUGCACAAUGGGGGAAACCCUGAUGCAGCAACGCCGCGUGAGCGAAGAAGUAUUUCGGUAUGUAAAGCUCUAUCAGCAGGGAAGAUAAUGACGGUACCUGACUAAGAAGCUCCGGCUAAAUACGUGCCAGCAGCCGCGGUAAUACGUAUGGAGCAAGCGUUAUCCGGAUUUACUGGGUGUAAAGGGAGCGCAGGCGGUGGCGCAAGUCUGAUGUGAAAACCCGGGGCCCAACCCCGGGACUGCAUUGGAAACUGCGUGACUUGAGUGUCGGAGGGGUAAGUGGAAUUCCUAGUGUAGCGGUGAAAUGCGUAGAUAUUAGGAGGAACACCAGUGGCGAAGGCGGCUUACUGGACGACAACUGACGCUGAGGCUCGAAAGCGUGGGGAGCAAACAGG
rnacentral:rRNA from 1 species